GUGCUCACUUUGGCAGCAUAGAUACUAAAAUUGGACCAAGACAGAGAUUAGCGUGGCCCCUGCUCAAGGAUGACUCGUAAAUGCGUUGUGUUCCAUAUUUUU